GUUUUUAUCUGACUUGUUGUUUGUGCGAGUCCUACGUGUUGUCUAGUACUCUCUAGAGUUAGGGUCUGUUUUUAAUUUAUAAUUAUUAUCUUGUCUAGACCCGUCGACUGUUCGUACUUCAGAGGCGAACCAGAGUUAGAUUGCUUGUCAGUUUCACGUGGAAUAGCAAGCAGUUUGUGAUUUGAGCAUUUGUCAAUCUCCGUUUCUUCAUUCUCGGAGGUUCUUUAAUUAUUUUCAGAAUAAAAGAGUCGAACUGUUUUAAACUCUUAGACCGCAGUAGUAGUAUUGGAUUAUUGAUGUUUUAGUCUUAUACUUAUUGUUUUAGACUAUUGUUUGUUGAUAUAGUUCAACUAUGAUUUUAUCAGCUUUGGCAUGAUUACAGUAACUUUGUUAUUAUUUAUUGAUUUGCCAUGUUGUUGGAGUUUAAUUUGAAA